rnacentral:rRNA from 1 species
GACAGAGGCCUCAAGCGUUAGGCGGAAUCACUGGGCUUAAAGCGUGUGUAGGCGGAUCGUUAAGUGUCUUGUGAAAUCCCACGGCUCACCCGUGGAACUGCUGGGCAUACUGGCGAUCUUGGGCCAACUAGGGGCAACUGGAACAAGCGGUGGAGCGGUGAAAUGCGUAGAUAUCAGGAGGAACACCAAUAGCGAAGGCAGCUCGCUGGGACGUUACUGACACUGAGGCGCGAAAGCGUGGGGAGCGAACAGG